GACGAACGCUGGCGGCGUGCCUAAUACAUGCAAGUCGAACGCAGUGGGGACGGGUGAGUAACACGUGGGUAACCUCCCAUCAGAGGGGACAAAACAUGGAAACAGGUGCAAAACCGAUACUGAUGGCUGGUCCCGCGGUGCAUUAGCUAGUUGGUGAGGGAACGGCUGACCAAGGCCACGAUGCAUAGGCGGCCUGAGAGGGUGAUCAGCCACACUGGGACUGAGACACGGCCCAGACGCCUACGGGAGGCAGCAGUAGGGAAUCUUCCGUAAUGGACGAAAGUCUGACCGAGCAACGCCGCGUGAAUGAAGAAGGUUUUCGGGUCGUAAAGCCCUUUUAUUAGGGAGGCGGUAUCUAACCAGGAAGCCACGGCUAACUACGUGCCAGCAGCCGCGGUAAUUC
rnacentral:rRNA from 1 species